AGCGAACGCUGGCGGCAGGCUUAACACAUGCAAGUCGAGCGCCGUGGCAAUACGGAGCGGCAGACGGGUGAGUAACACGUGGGAACGUACCUUUUGGUUCGGAACAACACAGGGAAACUUGUGCUAAUACCGGAUAAGCCCUUACGGGGAAAGAUUUAUCGGCGAAGGAUCGGCCCGCGUUAGAUUAGCUAGUUGGCGGUGUAAUGGACCACCAAGGCUACGAUCUAUAGCUGGUCUGAGAGGAUGAUCAGCCACACUGGGACUGAGACACGGCCCAGACUCCUACGGGAGGCAGCAGUGGGGAAUCUUGGACAAUGGGCGCAAGCCUGAUCCAGCCAUGCCGCGUGAGUGAAGAAGGCCUUAGGGUUGUAAAACUCUUUCGCCGGAGAAGAUAAUGACGGUAUCCGGAGAAGAAGCCCCGGCUAACUUCGUGCCAGCCGCCGCCGUAA
rnacentral:rRNA from 1 species